GACGAACGCUGGCGGCGUGCUUAACACAUGCAAGUCGAACGGAAAGGCCCUGCUUUUGUGGGGUGCUCGAGUGGCGAACGGGUGAGUAACACGUGAGUAACCUGCCCUUGACUUUGGGAUAACUUCAGGAAACUGGGGCUAAUACCGGAUAGGAGCUCCUGCUGCAUGGUGGGGGUUGGAAAGUUUCGGCGGUUGGGGAUGGACUCGCGGCUUAUCAGCUUGUUGGUGGGGUAGUGGCUUACCAAGGCUUUGACGGGUAGCCGGCCUGAGAGGGUGACCGGCCACAUUGGGACUGAGAUACGGCCCAGACUCCUACGGGAGGCAGCAGUGGGGAAUAUUGCACAAUGGGCGGAAGCCUGAUGCAGCAACGCCGCGUGCGGGAUGGCGGCCUUCGGGUUGUAAACCGAUUUCGCCUGUGACGAAGCGUGAGUGACGGUAAUGGGUAAAGAAGCACCGGCUAACUACGUG
rnacentral:rRNA from 1 species